CGGGAUGUAGCUCAACGCAGAGCGCCAGGGAGUCUACCCGACGAGCAAAGUCCUUGGAGGUUGUUGGUUAAAGUCCAGCCAUCCCGA
rnacentral:tRNA from 1 species